rnacentral:rRNA from 1 species
AGCGAACGCUGGCGGCAGGCCUAACACAUGCAAGUCGAACGAACUCUUCGGAGUUAGUGGCGGACGUGUGAGUAACACGUGGGAACGUGCCUUUAGGUUCGGAAUAACUCAGGGAAACUUGUGCUAAUACCGAAUGUGCCCUUCGGGGGAAAGAUUUAUCGCCUUUAGAGCGGCCCGCGUCUGAUUAGCUAGUUGGUGAGGUAAAGGCUCACCAAGGCGACGAUCAGUAGCUGGUCUGAGAGGAUGAUCAGCCACAUUGGGACUGAGACACGGCCCAAACUCCUACGGGAGGCAGCAGUGGGGAAUCUUGCGCAAUGGGCGAAAGCCUGACGCAGCCAUGCCGCGUGAAUGAUGAAGGUCUUAGGAUUGUAAAAUUCUUUCACCGGGGACGAUAAUGACGGUACCCGGAGAAGAAGCCCCGGCUAACUUCGUG